ensembl:rRNA 5S_rRNA 5S ribosomal RNA
GUGUACGGCCAUUCCACACUCAACAUGCCUUAUCUCGUCAAAACUUGGAAGCUAACCAGGGUUGGACCUGGUGAGUACUUGGAUGGGAGAUUAGAAAUAUACAGGUACCUUUUCUCC